rnacentral:rRNA from 1 species
GACGAACGCUGGCGGCGUGCUUAACACAUGCAAGUCGAACGGUAAGGCCCUUCGGGGUACACGAGUGGCGAACGGGUGAGUAACACGUGGGUGAUCUGCCCUGCACUUCGGGAUAAGCCUGGGAAACUGGGUCUAAUACCGGAUAGGACUCCUGGCUUCAUGGUUGGGGGUGGAAAGCGUUUGCGGUGUGGGAGGGGCCCGCGGCCGAUCAGCUUGUGGGUGGGGUAAUGGCCUACCAAGGCGACGGCGGGUAGCCGGCCUGAGAGGGUGACCGGUCACACUGGGACUGAGAUAGGGCCCAGACUCCUACGGGAGGCAGCAGUGGGGAAUAUUGCACAAUGGGCGCAAGCCUGAUGCAGCGACGCCGCGUGAGGGAUGACGGCCUUCGGGUUGUAAACCUCUUUCAGCACCGACGAAGCGCAAGUGACGGUAGGUGCAGAAGAAGGACCGGCCAACUACGUGCCAGCCGCCGCUGUAA